UGAAAAACAAAGAGGUUCGAGAAGCCAUCAAAUUUUAUAUUCUUGAUCUAACUUUAAAUUGCAAUCGAUUUGAUUCAUGGGCUGGUUGUACUCUCGCAAUGAAAAAUCUAAUCUACCAUUGCUAUUCUUUGCCAAGUUGUCAAGUUUUCUACUCAGCUAUUGAUGAAGUGUUGCUUUUGGGAGAGAAAGCAAGUCGAUGUUACAAUGAAGCACUUCGACUUAAAGAAGGUGAAUCUAAAUUAAUGAUUAAAUAUGGAA